rnacentral:rRNA from 1 species
CUUGUUGCUUCGGCGGGCCCGCCUUAACUGGCCGCCGGGGGGCUUACGUCCCCGGGCCCGCGCCCGCCGAAGACACCCUCGAACUCUGUCUGAAGAUUGUAGUCUGAGUGAAAAUAUAAAUUAUUUAAAACUUUCAACAACGGAUCUCUUGGUUCCGGCAUCGAUGAAGAACGCAGCGAAAUGCGAUACGUAAUGUGAAUUGCAAAUUCAGUGAAUCAUCGAGUCUUUGAACGCACAUUGCGCCCCCUGGUAUUCCGGGGGGCAUGCCUGUCCGAGCGUCAUUGCUGCCCUCAAGCACGGCUUGUGUGUUGGGCCCCGUCCUCCGAUCCCGGGGGACGGGCCCGAAAGGCAGCGGCGGCACCGCGUCCGGUCCUCGAGCGUAUGGGGCUUUGUCACCCGCUCUGUAGGCCCGGCCGGCGCUUGCCGAUCAACCCAAAUUUUUAUCCAGGUUGACCUCGGAUCAGGUAGGGAUACCCGCUGAACUUAAGCAUAUCAAU